ensembl:lncRNA
CAGUUCUGUAUCAGCACAAAUUCUUUUCCACAUAUAUUACAGUACAUUAAAAAAAAUAAUGCCAACUGUGUUUUUUGCCAGAUGUUACUCGACUGCUUUGAAAAUGAUAUGGCUGUUUAAAUAGAGUUGUACAUGAAAAAGUAGUAAGAGAAAUUACACACAGCCAUAAAGCAUUGUGCAGACAAAGGUUUUCCCAUCACCACUAGAAACCAAGGUAACCAAAGUACUGUACAUACAUGUUCAGUGUGCCAUUACAUUAUGAAGUGCUUUCAUUUUCAGGACCACAUACUUACCUGGUACCAAUUACAAAAGGAAAUACAUUUCUAUAGGUUCAAAGGAUUUCAAAAACCAAAAAGGCAAAAGUAGGUCACUGUAGCAGUGCAAGAACGCAAAACGUUUACACGUAAAAACAUCCAGAUUAACAGAUGGAAGUAGCACGUAAUAGAGAACAUGAUGAGACUAGCCAACCCUGGUGACAGUCUGUCCUUCAGUCUCUCUCCUUCUCCUUACUGUAAAAAGCUGGGUGCUUGAUUGUCUCUUGAAUCUCAGGCAAAGAGGUGAAGUGAAAAAUCAGAGAGAAUCAACUACCUGACGCAGCACGAUCUUUAAAAAAGAAGAUGUUUCUGUAUCUGGUUUAAGCUUACUGGGAGAAAAACGUCAUUACUGGAAACACAGCGUGACUCGUGGUCAUCGUCCCUUUAAGAGUCAUUAUGUUAACAGUGUUUUUGGGAACACGGUUCUAGUUUAGCUGCAGACAUAGAGAAUAUAAACGAUGGACAUGACGUCAACAUCUCAGCUUCCUGGCUGUAAAUACUUUUAUGAUGACAUCAUCAUGGGUUCCAGGUGACAGUGAAAAACACAAGAAAUUCAGCUGGUAAAUUAUGUUCAGAGACUCACAGGACUGUGAGCAUCACAGUCAGAUACACCCCUCACCCAUCAUGUCCAGUUUCAUCACUCAGUUCAAGCUCUUCACAAACUGGUGACUAACAUCAGUGUUUCCACAUCCAUCUUUUAUACUGUUUGCAGAUUGAAAGCAUGUACAGUACAUAUACAGAUGGUUACCAGCACAAAGGAAACAUCAUACUAAGAAUUUGCACCUGCGUGUUUCCUUUGCUUUGGCGUCUAUAUUACAUGCUCAGCUAAAAACGUAACACUGGCUGUCUUAAUGCAGGUAUGUAUUUAUUCAUUUAUCUAUUUUUAUUACAUUAAAAAACAAAUGUAUUUGUUGAUCUUCAAAAUGAUAGAAUGUCUGCUGUCACUUAACUGAUGCCACAGAGUAGAAGUUUUAUAGCAUUAAUUUAACAAAGAUAGGACAACAAUUCACAAUGCCUAUAUAGAUUACAUAGGUACAUGCUCUGUACAUUAGGAGCUAAAUACAGUUAAUAUAUUUUAACAUUAAGAUCAUGUCUCUUUGGAAUGAUUCAGUAUGUGAGUACGUUGUGUAUUUACAGCAAUGCACUGUUUUAUUGUAGUCACCUUUUACUACGUUUAUAUUAUAUAGUACAUUUAUAUGUUAUUUGUAUGUAUAUAUGUAGAUCUCUGAAAUGUGUGAAAUUAAACAAAGUAUUACAUUAAGUUGUUUAGCCUUCAGGUAGUUGUAGUUACAUUGUACAGGAUUCUUCGUGAAGUGUAAAACAGAGAAUAUGAUCUUUAACUGUCAUGGCACAAUUUUUCUGUCUUGUUUGGAAAAAAAAUGCUUUUGGUGAAUUUUUCUAAUUCAGAGGAAAGAAACAGUCACCACACAAAAACUCAUUAGUCAUGAAGUUAAACUUAAACAUGAGACAGGCCACACGGGGCUACUACCUGAGUCUUUCUUUGGCUAUUUAUUGGCUAAUGGCUGAUAAACUAAAAUCAUUACAAAGCAUUUGACUGCAGAUCAGAUAAGAUGGAGAGCGAAGGUGAAAGUACAGACAGCACAAACUGUAAACACACACAAAGUUCC